rnacentral:lncRNA from 1 species
UUGGCGCUGACAGAUUUUAGAUUUGAUGCACGGUUUUCGAGAAAAGGAGUUUUAUCAAAAAGAGGGUUUUCGCUCUUUGCUUUUCUGGCAUUUUAAAGCUCCUCGUGCUCUGUGCUUGUGACAGGGGGGUUGGGUGAGAGAUGUUUAGGGUACCUACUAGUGGUAGGGAGUCCGAAUUCGGAUUCGAAAUUAAGGUUUUUGGGUUUACACAUAGGUCUGUGUAAUUUAUGGGUUAGUUGGAGAGCGAACGGGUUUCGUCAUGAAUCCGUGACCAAACGGGGUGAAACAAAAUCGUGGAUUUGAUGGCUCGGCAAUGCUGAACGCGCUGGCGCAAUCUGUUCGUAAAUCCGACGAACGGAUUGCCGGAUAUCGCAUGAUGUUCGGAAAGGGGACAAUUGUGGCAAAUCGGAGACUUCGCAAAAGUCGUAACAUUUUGUGCCGAAUCGCGCGAAAUCGGACGUGGAGAUGCAUACGUGUAAGAUUCUCGCGCUGUGAAGGACUGAAUUGCAAGUAAUCAGCUCUGGGGGAUCUUUAUGCAAAAUGU